rnacentral:rRNA from 1 species
AGAGUUUGAUCCUGGCUCAGAACGAACGCUGGCGGCGUGCUUAACACAUGCAAGUCGAACGCGAAAGGGACUUCGGUCCUGAGUAAAGUGGCGCACGGGUGAGUAACGCGUGGAUAAUCUACCUGAUGAACCGGGAUAACAUUUCGAAAGGGGUGCUAAUACCGGAUAAGACCACGAGACCUUCGGGUCAUGGGGUAAAAGGUGGGGACCUUCGGGCCUACCGUCAUCAGAUGAGUCCGCGUACCAUUAGCUAGUUGGUGGGGUAAAGGCCUACCAAGGCGACGAUGGUUAGCUGGUCUGAGAGGAUGAUCAGCCACACUGGAACUGAGACACGGUCCAGACUCCUACGGGAGGCAGCAGUGGGGAAUUUUGCGCAAUGGGGGAAACCCUGACGCAGCAACGCCGCGUGAGUGAUGAAGGCCUUCGGGUCGUAAAGCUCUGUCAGAGGGGAAGAAGUGUACGGGUGCUAAUAUCGCCUGUAUUUGACGGUACCCUCAAAGGAAGCACCGGCUAACUCCGUGCCAGCAGCCGCGGUAAUACGGAGGGUGCAAGCGUUGUUCGGAAUUAUUGGGCGUAAAGCGCGUGUAGGCGGUCUUGUAAGUCUGAUGUGAAAGCCCCGGGCUCAACCUGGGAAGUGCAUUGGAAACUGUGAGACUUGAAUACGGGAGAGGGUAGUGGAAUUCCUAGUGUAGGAGUGAAAUCCGUAGAUAUUAGGAGGAACACCGGUGGCGAAGGCGGCUACCUGGACCGAUAUUGACGCUGAGACGCGAAAGCGUGGGGAGCAAACAGGAUUAGAUACCCUGGUAGUCCACGCCGUAAACGAUGAGUACUAGGUGUUGCGGGUAUUGACCCCUGCAGUGCCGCAGCUAACGCAUUAAGUACUCCGCCUGGGAAGUACGGUCGCAAGACUAAAACUCAAAUGAAUUGACGG